UUGCUUUGUAUAAAAAUUCAAAAUAUCUUAAAAUUCUUCAAAAUAUAUUUCUUCCCGCCAAGGACCUUUUUACAUCAGACUUUGGAAAUUCAUAUAUGUUGAUCCAACCGUUCACUUUAUUUCAAAUUUCUACCUAAGCUAGAUGCUAUACUUAACUUGUACCACAAAAAAAUUGAACUGUACAUCUAUCACCGAUCGUUCGGCAUCUUAGAAACCCUAGCAGGUGCACAAAACCCUAACUUACAAGCACCCGAAAACUAUUUUCCUUAUAUCUCUUAAACCCAAGCUCCAAAUCACACAAAAUUUGUAUAGAAAGCUUUAUAAUAAGAUUACACUCAAUCUUGAAAUUUUUUAGCUAAAACCUCAUCAAAUUGUCUAAGAUAUAGCUCAAAUCACAAGCACAAGUAAUUCGGGCUACUUACUACCCUUAGAUAUCAAGCGCUGACUUCAACUGCCAAUAUCUCCUUCAUAAAAGCUUGGAAUUCGAUAAACAGUAUGCACAAACUGUAGCCGAAAAAGUGCUCUCUUCAAAUCCGGUCGCCGAUCCUCGUUUGCUGUCCGUACGCGUGUGGUAUGCUCAAAAGAGUGACAGUACGUCGAAAACUUACACCUUAACUUUGAGCGCCUAUAACUUCUUCAUAUAAACCCCAAAUGACACAAAUUUUGCACCAAAACCAUAUCCAAAAACCUAGACCUUCUGACCCUAGCCUCAAAAACUCGAAUCCUCCCGAGAAACUAACCCUAAUCCCUAAUAUGGCCUCGGGCAGCCUCCUCAAAGCCCAUUGGUCAUGAUUUUUGACC
rnacentral:lncRNA from 1 species